GUGAGUGAUGAAGGUUUUCGGAUCGUAAAGCUCUGUUGUUAGGGAAGAACAAGUGCAAGAGUAACUGCUUGCACCUUGACGGUACCUAACCAGAAAGCCACGGCUAACUACGUGCCAGCAGCCGCGGUAAUACGUAGGUGGCAAGCGUUGUCCGGAAUUAUUGGGCGUAAAGGGCUCGCAGGCGGUUUCUUAAGUCUGAUGUGAAAGCCCCCGGCUCAACCGGGGAGGGUCAUUGGAAACUGGGAAACUUGAGUGCAGAAGAGGAGAGUGGAAUUCCACGUGUAGCGGUGAAAUGCGUAGAGAUGUGGAGGAACACCAGUGGCGAAGGCGACUCUCUGGUCUGUAACUGACGCUGAGGAGCGAAAGCGUGGGGAGCGAACAGGAUUAGAUACCCUGGUAGUCCACGCCGUAAACGAUGAGUGCUAAGUGUUAGGGGGUUUCCGCCCCUUAGUGCUGCAGCUAACGCAUUAAGCACUCCGCCUGGGGAGUACGGUCGCAAGACUGAAACUCAAAGGAAUUGACGGGGGCCCGCACAAGCGGUGGAGCAUGUGGUUUAAUUCGAAGCAACGCGAAGAACCUUACCAGGUCUUGACAUCCUCUGACAACCCUAGAGAUAGGGCUUUCCCUUCGGGGACAGAGUGACAGGUGGUGCAUGGUUGUCGUCAGCUCGUGUCGUGAGAUGUUGGGUUAAGUCCCGCAACGAGCGCAACCCUUGAUCUUCUGACGCUGAGGAGCGAAAGCGUGGGGAGCGAACAGGAUUAGAUACCCUGGUAGUCCACGCCGUAAACGAUGAGUGCUAAGUGUUAGGGGGUUUCCGCCCCUUAGUGCUGCAGCUAACGCAUUAAGCACUCCGCCUGGGGAGUACGGUCGCAAGACUGAAACUCAAAGGAAUUGACGGGGGCCCGCACAAGCGGUGGAGCAUGUGGUUUAAUUUGAAGCAACGCGAAGAACCUUACCAGGUCUUGACAUCCUCUGACAACCCUAGAGAUAGGGCUUUCCCUUCGGGGACAGAGUGACAGGUGGUGCAUGGUUGUCGUCAGCUCGUGUCGUGAGAUGUUGGGUUAAGUCCCGCAACGAGCGCAACCCUUGAUCUUAGUUGCCAGCAUUCAGUUGGGCACUCUAAGGUGACUGCCGGUGACAAACCGGAGGAAGGUGGGGAUGACGUCAAAUCAUCAUGCCCCUUAUGACCUGGGCUACACACGUGCUACAAUGGACAGAACAAAGGGCUGCAAGACCGCAAGGUUUAGCCAAUCCCAUAAAUCUGUUCUCAGUUCGGAUCGCAGUCUGCAACUCGACUGCGUGAAGCUGGAAUCGCUAGUAAUCGCGGAUCAGCAUGCCGCGGUGAAUACGUUCCCGGGCCUUGUACACACCGCCCGUCACACCACGAGAGUUUGCAACACCCGAAGUCGGUGAGGUAACCUUUAUGGAGCCAGCCGCCGA
rnacentral:rRNA from 1 species